rnacentral:rRNA from 1 species
AGAACGAACGCUGGCGGCAUGCCUAAUACAUGCAAGUCGAACGAACACUUCGGUGUUAGUGGCGCACGGGUGCGUAACGCGUGGGAAUCUGCCCUUGGGUUCGGAAUAACAGUUGGAAACGACUGCUAAUACCGGAUGAUGACGAAAGUCCAAAGAUUUAUCGCCCAGGGAUGAGCCCGCGUAGGAUUAGCUAGUUGGUGAGGUAAAGGCUCACCAAGGCGACGAUCCUUAGCUGGUCUGAGAGGGACGUAGUACUACG